ensembl:lncRNA
UAAAACUCAAACGCAUGAGAGGUAAAAAAAGCGUGGGAAUGAGUAAAGUGAUAAAACCGUCAUUUAUUCUUUAGAAGUAUGUUUACAUAACCUCUUCAAACACUGAUAACGAUACUGAAAAGAUAUUUGUUUAUACUUUUUUUUUAGAUCAAGCUUUGUAAUAAGAUUUUUAUCGGGGGAGAACACCCAACAGAAAGACCCAUGAUUCACCAACUGGCGCACUGAAAGGGGAGAUUCAUGUCACCUUCAUCAGUCCUUUCUUUAAUCACUGGACACCAUUAAGGGAAAGACCCUCAGACGUGUCAUAAUAGGAUAAAUGCGGCUGCAGUUUUUGACAGAUUGGACUAGUUAACUUACUUCAACAACUUCUGGGACAAGGCCUGGUGAGAGUCACUACAGAGGAUCAUAGCCAUUGUUGGAAUUCUGAAAGGAUGUGGGUGAAUAUCAAUCUGCCAAAUGAACAUUCACAUCUGUAUAUUAAUACUGAUUAUAUAUGAACUUGUUUGUUUGUAACUGGAAAGAACUUAGCUUCUAUUGUUUUUGACUGAAGGACUUGACCGUGUUUUAAGC